UGGGGAAUAUUGCACAAUGGGCGCAAGCCUGAUGCAGCCAUGCCGCGUGUGUGAAGAAGGCCUUCGGGUUGUAAAGCACUUUCAGCGAGGAGGAAGGUGGUGAGCUUAAUACGCUCAUCAAUUGACGUUACUCGCAGAAGAAGCACCGGCUAACUCCGUGCCAGCAGCCGCGGUAAUACGGAGGGUGCAAGCGUUAAUCGGAAUUACUGGGCGUAAAGCGCACGCAGGCGGUUUGUUAAGUCAGAUGUGAAAUCCCCGGGCUCAACCUGGGAACUGCAUUUGAAACUGGCAAGCUAGAGUCUCGUAGAGGGGGGUAGAAUUCCAGGUGUAGCGGUGAAAUGCGUAGAGAUCUGGAGGAAUACCGGUGGCGAAGGCGGCCCCCCUGGACGAAGACUGACGCUCAGGUGCGAAAGCGUGGGGCAGCAAACAGGAUUAGAUACCCUGGUAGUCCGCGCUGUAAAACGAUGUCGAUUUGGAGGUUGUGCCCUUGAGGCGUGGCUUCCGGAGCUAACGCGUUAAAUCGACCG
rnacentral:rRNA from 1 species